rnacentral:rRNA from 1 species
AGCGAACGCUGGCGGCAGGCUUAACACAUGCAAGUCGAGCGGGCACUUCGGUGCUAGUGGCAGACGGGUGAGUAACACGUGGGAACGUACCUUUUGGUUCGGAAUAAUUCAGGGAAACUUGGACUAAUACCGGAUACGCCCUUCGGGGGAAAGAUUUAUCGCCGAAAGAUCGGCCCGCGUCUGAUUAGCUAGUUGGUGAGGUAAUGGCUCACCAAGGCGACGAUCAGUAGCUGGUCUGAGAGGAUGAUCAGCCACACUGGGACUGAGACACGGCCCAGACUCCUACGGGAGGCAGCAGUGGGGAAUAUUGGACAAUGGGCGCAAGCCUGAUCCAGCCAUGCCGCGUGUGUGAUGAAGGCCUUAGGGUUGUAAAGCACUUUUGUCCGGGAAGAUAAUGACUGUACCGGAAGAAUAAGCCCCGGCUAACUUCGUGCCAGCCGCCGCCGUAAUAC